ACCGUAUUGAAAAGGCGCAGGCGGCAGCUCGGGGCUGUACUCGGGGCCGGCGGCUGCAGCUCGUUGGCACCUUCCCCCUCCCUUAAUUGCUCCUCAGCCAACUCCAUGUGAGCCCGGCCGGGUACAAAUAGCCCCGCGCCGCGUUUCCCCCCACACCGCGCACCUCGCCCACGCCGCACCCCCGUUCAGUUGGGCGGUGGCCAGCCCGCCCCGCACCCUCCCGGGCAGCACCAGGGCACCCAGCCUGGGCACCGUCUCCGCACCUAGCUGCACCCCGGAGCCUUUUGUUUGUUGGUCACCCACAGGCACCAUUUCCAAGCCCAGCCCAGGACCGCAGCUCCCCCGAGAGCCUCCUGCCCCCAAGAGAGCCAAGCCCGGGGGAAGCCCUGCGAUCCCUGGACAAAGAAGCUACAAAGAACCCAGGACCGUCCACUCAGCCCCCUGCACCCCCGCCAUGAGCAACCUCAACAAGGAGAGCGAGCACAGUAACAGCAGCAACAACAUCGAGGAGGAGGUACGGACGCUCUUUGUCAGUGGCCUUCCUGUGGACAUCAAACCCAGAGAGCUCUACCUGCUCUUCCGACCGUUCAAGGGCUAUGAAGGGUCACUGAUCAAACUAACAUCAAAACAGCCAGUAGGUUUCGUUACCUUCGAUAGCCGAUCUGGUGCUGAAGCAGCAAAGAAUGCCUUAAACGGUAUCCGCUUCGACCCAGAGAACCCCCAGACCUUGCGGUUGGAGUUUGCCAAAGCCAACACCAAGAUGGCAAAAAGCAAGCUGAUGGCCACACCAAACCCCACCAACAUCCACCCUGCCCUGGGCGCGCACUUCAUCGCACGGGACCCCUAUGACCUGGCUGGAGCAGCUCUCAUUCCAGCAUCUCCAGAGGCGUGGGCUCCCUACCCACUGUACACCACAGAGCUAACCCCUGCCAUCCCCCAUGCUGCGUUCACAUACCCAGCCGCUGCUGCCGCCGCUGCUGCCCUUCACGCUCAGUGAACGCCAGCCAUGAUGCCAGCGCAGGCUAGCCCUGAAGCUCAGAGCUGUCCCUGGAGAUGGGACACCCUAGUGAUGCCUAAUUGCCGCUAGUGGAGUGGCUGUCCUACAGCUUCAUUCCUAAGCGUGAUGGCCCCCACGUCUGGAAAGACUGAUGCGCUGGUAUCCUCCCUCCGAAGCUACCCAGCAAGGAUGGAAGUCUCGUCAGUUUUGUUAGUUCUUCAAGUCUCUUGGCUUGUUCCCUUCUUUGUCUCUCCUGGAGCGAUGUGCCAGGGAUGAAGCAAUGGAUCCAUCAAAAUCCGUUUGGUUUGUGGACACUCUGCAGUAAUGUCACAUUUCUCCUGGUACAGCCUUGUGGGCUUCCCUGUUAGACUGUGCAUCUAUCCAUACCCAGCUCAGUGGACUGCAUUCUGCCUGUCCUCACCUUCCCUCCCCUCUCCUGCCUCCCCUCCUAACAGAUUCCCAGACUGAGUUUCUCCUUCCUGUGCCACUGAAGCCUAGAUGGAGGGACUCAAUCCUGGUGGUAACAGACGGGUUUGUCCCUACCAAGACACUGGUGCCAAAUGAGGCCUAGCUGUACAGAGCAAUACUCAGGCUGCCUUGCCCUCAACUUUAUGCAGCUCUGCUGAAGGAAAUGAAAGACAAUCAGUUUUGCAUGUUUUCUGGCAUGAAUUUAAAACACUUAACUUGUGUAUGUGUGAGUGUAUAAGUUUGUUCUAGCAUUUGUGUAACUGUAGCAACAGGUCUUGGCCUAACUAUUGAUCCAGCAAGGUUUUUCAUCUUGCUUCUGUGAAGACUUGGCUUUCAAAAAUACUAUCCUUGUCUCACCCCUCCUCGUCCACCUCCCCCGCCCCACGUUCUCCAGUCCGACCAGAAGAUUUUUGAAAAAUGUUUGUUUAGAGUACAAUGCACUGGGUUUCUUUUCUUGUCUGGUCUCUUCUCUCAUUUUUUUAAAAA